rnacentral:rRNA from 1 species
GACGAACGCUGGCGGCGUGCCUAAUACAUGCAAGUAGAACGCAGUUGCGAACGGGUGAGUAACGCGUAGGUCACUGCCUGGUAGCGGGGGAUAACUAUUGGAAACGAUAGCUAAUACCGCAUACUACCAGAUGGACCUGCGUUGUAUUAGCUAGUUGGUGAGGUAACGGCUCACCAAGGCAACGAUACAUAGCCGAGCUGAGAGGGUGAUCGGCCAAACUGGGACUGAGGCAAGGCCCAGACUCCUUCGGGAGGCAACAGUAGGGAAUCUUCGGCAAUGGGGGGAACCCUGACCGAGCAACGCCGCGUGGGUGAAGAAGGGUUUCGGAGCGUAAAGCUCUGUUGUUAGGGAAGCGGUACUUAACCAGAAAGGGACGGCUAACUACGUGCCAGCAGCCGCGGUAAUAC